GGGGUUGUGGCUCAGCGGUGAGUGCUCGCCUAGCACAUGCGAGGCCCUGGGUUCGAUCCUCAGCACCACA
rnacentral:tRNA from 1 species